GCGCGAAAACUUCGCACUGUGCGAAAGCACGACGAGGGAAUUCCAAGUGCUUGCUCUUAGGAGUAAGCUGUUUUUCUGUCUAAAACGCAGAGAGAGUAAGGGGUGGGUAAGACGGGUGCCAGCCGCCGCGGUAAUACCUGCACCUCAAGUGGUGGCCGUUAUUAUUGGGCCUAAAACGUCCGUAGCCGGUUUACUAAAUGCCUGGGUAAAUCGAAUAGCUUAACUAUUCGAAUUCCGGGUAGACUGGUAAACUCGAGAUCGGGAGAAGCUAGAGGUACUCCUGGGGUAGAGGUGAAAUUCUGUAAUCCUAGGGGGACCACCAGUGGCGAAGGCGUCUAGCUAUAACGAGUUUGACGGUGAGGGACGAAGCCCUGGGGCGCAAACGGGAUUAGAUACCCCGGUAGUCCAGGGUGUAAACGCUGCUUGCUUGAUGUUGGUCGGGCUCCGAGCCCGAUCAGUGUCGGAGAGAAGUUGUUAAGCAAGCUGCCUGGGGAUACGGUCGCAAGACUGAAACUUAAAGGAAUUGGCGGGGGA
rnacentral:rRNA from 1 species